rnacentral:lncRNA from 1 species
AAGUAGGCUGCAACUCACAUAGUCUGAUGAGGAAAUCCUAGUUAGAAUUGACUUCUUUCUUCACCCAACUUGGCCCAACUUCAAUGCCCUAUAACAGCAACCUUUCAGAGGACUUUUAGAGACAUGAAAUACCAAAUUCAGAGCUAAGAAUAAGCCAUAAAGUCAUUGAAAAUAUUCGCAUUGAAGCUGAGAAGAAAUCAAGGGGAUUCAAGAAGAUUUGGAGAUUAAGAUUACAAUUCUUGGGUUUCCUUUAUCUUUUUGUUGUUCUUUUAUUUUCUUGGUUUAGGUUUUGAUGAUUAAACUUAAUUUGAUGAUGAUGUGUGACUUUAUGGGGA